rnacentral:rRNA from 1 species
GAUGAACGCUAGCGGCAGGCUUAAUACAUGCAAGUCGUGGGGCAGCAGGGUUGUAGCAAUACAAUCGCUGGCGACCGGCAAACGGGUGCGUAACACGUACGCAACCUUCCCGUUACUGUGGCAUAGCCCAGGGAAACUUGGAUUAAUACCACAUUUUAUAUUAAGGGGGCAUCCCUUUGAUAUCAAAGCUUCGGCGGUAACGGAUGGGCGUGCGGUUGAUUAGGUAGUUGGCGGGGUAACGGCCCACCAAGCCUGCGAUCAAUAGCUGAUGUGAGAGCAUGAUCAGCCACACGGGCACUGAGACACGGGCCCGACUCCUACGGGAGGCAGCAGUAAGGAAUAUUGGGCAAUGGACGAAAGUCUGACCCAGCCAUGCCGCGUGAAGGAUUAAGGUCCUCUGGAUUGUAAACUUCUUUUCUCUGGGGCGAAAACCAGCUAUUCUUAGCUAUUUGACAGUACCAGAGGAAUAAGCACCGGCUAACUCCGUGCCAGCAGCCGCGGUAAGAC